CAUGGUUGUCGUCAGCUCGUGUCGUGAGAUGUUGGGUUAAGUCCCGCAACGAGCGCAACCCUUGAUUUUAGUUGCCAGCAUUUAGUUGGGCACUCUAAAGUGACUGCCGGUGCAAGCCGGAGGAAGGUGGGGAUGACGUCAAAUCAUCAUGCCCCUUAUGACCUGGGCUACACACGUGCUACAAUGGAUAGUACAAAGGGUCGCGAAGCCGCGAGGUGGAGCUAAUCCCAUAAAACUAUUCUCAGUUCGGAUUGUAGGCUGCAACUCGCCUACAUGAAGCCGGAAUCGCUAGUAAUCGUGGAUCAGCAUGCCACGGUGAAUACGUUCCCGGGCCUUGUACACACCGCCCGUCACACCACGAGAGUUUGUAACACCCGAAGUCGGUAGGGUAACCUUUAUGGAGCCAGCCGCCGAAGGUGGGACAGAUAAUUGGGGUGAAGUCGUAACAAGGUAGCCGUAUCGGAAGGUGCGGCUGGAUCACCUCCUUU
rnacentral:rRNA from 1 species